GGGGCUGAUCGGUUUCGACUUGGGACGUUGGUCCCAGGGGAAGCGGGUCGAGGAUCCACGGUCAUCUCGUAAACGAUCCGUGGGAACCAAUAACUGCCAACGCUAAGCGCAGUUCGUUCGCUCUCGCCGCCUGAGGCGAUUAGCGACGGGUCGGUCUGAGGGCGCCUCCGCCUCAGUAGCCGGCCUCAUCUAGGAGGCUUGCCGCCCAGCCCGGGCCACGAGGGCUGAGCGGGACACUUUCGUGGCUGAGCCCGUAGGCGACCUGUUCGUGGGAGCGCCUGGGCCGAGAAAAGCGACAGCACGGACUGCACCCGGAGAAGACCUGGUACGGCGCUCGAGGACGCGGGUUCGAUUCCCGCCAGCUCCACCG
rnacentral:tmRNA from 1 species